ACGGAAGGCAGCAGUGGGGAAUAUUGCACAAUGGGCGAAAGCCUGAUGCAGCGACGCCGCGUGAGUGAAGAAGUAUCUCGGUAUGUAAAGCUCUAUCGGCAGGGAAGAAAAUGACGGUACCUGACUAAGAAGCCCCGGCUAACUACGUGCCAGCAGCCGCGGUAAUACGUAGGGGGCAAGCGUUAUCCGGAUUUACUGGGUGUAAAGGGAGCGUAGACGGUUUGGCAAGUCUGAAGUGAAAUGCGGGGGCUCAACUCCUGAACUGCUUUGGAAACUGUCGAACUAGAGUGCAGGAGAGGUAAGUGGAAUUCCUAGUGUAGCGGUGAAAUGCGUAGAUAUUAGGAGGAACACCAGUGGCGAAGGCGGCUUACUGGACUGUAACUGACGUUGAGGCUCGAAAGCGUGGGGAGCAAACAGGAUUAGAUACCCUGGUA
rnacentral:rRNA from 1 species